rnacentral:rRNA from 1 species
UACAGAGGUCUCGAGCGUUAGGCGGAAUCACUGGGCUUAAAGCGUGUGUAGGCGGAUCGGUAAGUACCUUGUGAAAUCCCACAGCUUAACUUUGGAACUGCUUGGUAUACUGCCAGUCUUGAGCCAGCUAGGGGCUACCGGAACAAAUGGUGGAGCGGUGAAAUGCGUAGAUAUCAUUUGGAACGCCAAUGGUGAAAACAGGUAGCUGGGGCUGUGCUGACGCUGAGACACGAAAGCCAGGGGAGCAAACGGG